rnacentral:lncRNA from 1 species
GGGUAUACGUUUUUCUCGAAAUCUAAAAUGUUCGGAAUCGUGUAUUUUUUUCUAAACUCCAUUGUUUUUGAAAACAAAGUUCUUGCUUCUAUGUGGUAGCGACAACAGCAGGUAACACGAUCUUUUGGUCUUGCUGACCGAACAAAAUACGGCUUCAAUCUUUCAAAUGUUCUUUGGUUCAUUUUUAUGUUGGGAUUAUUUAUACAAAAGUCAUUGAACACUUCAGUUUGAGAUUUAUCAAGUAUAUAAAUAGGAUGUUUUAAAAAUUGUUUGGGACCAAUACGGAUACGCUUCGUGUCAUUUUUGUUUCCAGACGGACGAGAUGUAUUAGGAUCUGUCCAAAAAUUGUACGCGAUUUUCUUUACAUCGUCAGUAAUAGCAUCUUUCCUCGUUUUUCUCUCAAUGUAUGUCCAACAUGACUUUUCAGAACUAAAUAUUUGGGUGCGUACUCUCUUUCCUUUCGAUAUCCGUUUUAGGGGUAGUCCCAACUUUCUUGAAAGCAAAGUUUUCUUUCGUUCUUUAGUUAUGUUUUUACCACUUGUGCUUGCUACGAUUACACUUAAUGCAGUUCUUGCCGAAUCAGAUCUUGAAAAUUUGGCCUGGUCGACUAUCUCUUUGAGAUCAUUUAGAACAGCAUUGCCAAGUUGAAUGUCUGUUUUUUCUUCUGGCGUAACAACACACUUUAAUUUUUCAAGCGAUUGAACAGUUGGGGAUUGUUUAUUGUCUAAAUACGUGGCCAUUACUGCUACUCUUUUCUUCGGUGUUGUAGGGAGUGCACUUUUCAUUGCCUUUACAGCCCUGCUUUUUUCCAUCUUAUUCGAAAACGUAUUUUUAAUGUCAUUUAUAGUGUGAAUAGCGGAAUCUUUAUUUUGAGUUUUCCUAUAUUUUCUUUUCCGUUCAGUUUCAUAAAGUCUUUUAUCAGCUUUUAUCUUCCUUUCUUUUCUUUUUCUCUUGGCCGCGGAAGUAUCGGAAUAAUCACAACUGUGACAUUUUUGUUUUAAUGCAUUGAUUCUCUCGUUUUUCUUCAUUUCGUAUUUUUGUUUACACCUUUCUCUGUUUUUCUGUGCCUUUUUCUCCUUCCACAUUUCAAAUCUCAAAGCAGACGUGCUUUUGUUAACUGCAAAUUAAAAUCAUUACCAAAAAAUUAUGAUUGAGUUUUGAAAAAUGGAACGCGUGUUAAAAGAAGCCUCUUUUGUGCUAAAAGAUAAAAACGCAUUAAAGAAAUGCUCAAACUAUUACGC